CAGAACGAACGCUGGCGGCGUGCUUAACACAUGCAAGUCGAACGCGAAAGGGACUUCGGUCCUGAGUAAAGUGGCGGCACGGGUGAGUAACGCGUAGAUAACCUGUCUUCAUGUCUGGAAUAAUACGCCGAAAGGGGUACUAAUACCGGAUAUUCUUGCUUUUCAUAAGUUAUGCAAGCAAAGGUGGCCUCUGCAUAUGCUACUGCAUGAAGAGGGGUCUGCGUACCAUUAGCUAGUAGGUGGGGUAAUGGCCUACCUAGGCGACGAUGGUUAGCGGGUCUGAGAGGAUGAUCCGCCACACUGGCACUGGAACACGGGCCAGACUCCUACGGGAGGCAGCAGUGAGGAAUAUUGCGCAAUGGGGGAAACCCUGACGCAGCGACGCCGCGUGAAGUGAGGAAGGCCUUCGGGUCGUAAAGCUCUGUCAAGAGGAAAGAAGUGUACAAUGGCUAAUACCUGUUGUAUUUGACGGUACCUCUAAAGGAAGCACCGGCUAACUCCGUGCCAGCCGCUGC
rnacentral:rRNA from 1 species